CUCCAUGUGUAGCGGUGGAAUGCGUAGAUAUAUGGAAGAGCACCAGUGGCGAAGGCGGCUGUCUGGUCUGCAACUGACGCUGAGGCUCGAAAGCAUGGGUAGCGAACAGGAUUAGAUACCCUGGUAGUCCAUGCCGUAAACGAUGAGUGCUAGGUGUUGGAGGGUUUCCGCCCUUCAGUGCCGGAGCUAACGCAUUAAGCACUCCGCCUGGGGAGUACGACCGCAAGGUUGAAACUCAAAGGAAUUGACGGGGGCCCGCACAAGCGGUGGAGCAUGUGGUUUAAUUCGAAGCUACGCGAAGAACCUUACCAGGUCUUGACAUCUUGCGCUAACCUUAGAGAUAAGGCGUUCCCUUCGGGGACGCAAUGAC
rnacentral:rRNA from 1 species